ACCAGGUUGGGUUUCACAAGCAGGUGUCUCUUGUUUUUCUCCUUCGUUUCUCACACUGUUCCACCACCUGUUCUCUCCUCUAUCCUGUCCCUUUUUUUUCUUCUUCUCCGUUUUCUCCGGCUGAGGCAGAAACGUUCAGCUCCGGCGGCACCAGGUGAACUCGAAUCUCAGACCUGAAGACGACUUAAACCACCUCUGACAUCAUUUCAGUCUUUCCUUAAACCUGAUCAGAACCAGCCCUACAAGUUAAACAGGACGUGAUGGGGGCACUGUCGUCUUUUUAGGCUAAAUUAUUAUUAUUUUCCACUGAACAAGUAAUGUCGGUCAGGUUCUGAAGCUGUUUGCUGUUGGCAGAAGAGCCUGAAGAUAAAACCUGCCAAUAAAUAACUCAAACAGCAACAGAGAGGCUGAAAAUCUACCUUUAAAGUCAGGAAAAACAGACGUGUUGUCACACUUGUCAGCGUAUUUGUGGAGCAGCUCCUGCACCGUCGCCUCCUCGCUGCCGCCCCUGCUUGAAUGGUCUCUGUGUCCAGGGCCAGCGCUCUAAUCCAGGACCUGCUCUUCCUCUGAGCGGGGAGUUAGCUUAAUCCCUCUCAUUUAGGCAGCUGCACUGCCGAGGAACUCUGGGAAAAAGGGAAACUUAGAAGUGUGUGACAGACACUUUCAGCUGUUGUGACGGCACCUUCUCCAUUCAGCUGCCUUAACAUGCAGCUCCCGGCCCGGGCGCCUUUAAUUUGGCUGUGAAUAAUGCAUGGAGGCCUGCGAGCGUGGAAAAGAGACACGGAGGUGCGCAUGGUUGGGAGGAAAGCUGUGUGACAGCACAGUCAGCUGGAAAACACUGACUGGCAUCUACGUGCACCAACGGCUAACUACGACAGUGUAUAUGACGCCGAAUAAAGGUCAGAGACGCCGACCAACAUCAGCGGGACGGGGAGAGUUUAAGCGACGUGGAAAAACACUGGCUUCCACGCAGAAGGCGCCGCCGCCGCCACUCCUCCUCCCUGACUGAUAGGAAAAGAGGAGGAACAGCCACCCAUUUCCCUGCCACCAUUAUGCUCAUUUGUCCUGUCAGGAGAAUGACAGGCCGCUUGACUCUUCCCCAGAUACGACCAUUAGGUAAUGCUCUGUCAUCUGACAGCCCGCCGCUCCCUAACCCCCCACCCCCCUAAUUAUUUCCUUGGCCACGGACAGGCGGCGGUGGGUAGGUAAUUUUUAACCUUUCACGUGCACCUGGGGAACCCUCCUCCAGGGAGCCAAGGUGCCUGUGUGGCAUUCAGUCAUCAAAACAUGACCUUUUAUGGCCGUUCGGAGAGCAGUUGGCACCGGGUGCCACGCGCCAGCUAAUGCUAAUGUUGAUGACUAAUUUAUGCAUCAGCCGGCCGCAUCUGCAGCAAGUUUAGCUUCAGCGGCGGCAACGCGUGAUUGAGUGCUGAGGAGGGGAGAACAAGCAGAGGUGAAAGGCAUUUUGAGGAAAAAAACGGGGGUGGGGCCUUUUGAGACGCCCGUUAGCCUGGCACGACGGGGAAUUGAAAGGGCUAAUUAUGUUGCAGGGAAUACGUUUAGCGUGACCACCGAGCCUUCUCAGAAUUUGUUGAGAGCAAUCUGACUAACGUGUCUGACCUUUGCAUUUUUUUUUUUUUUUAGCCUACAUUGUGGAUGACGGACCGCAUGCAAGAUGUGUGCAUAUUCUACCGCCUUAUUGUCUUUUUUCCAUUGUGGCUAUAUACCUUUUCUGACUAGAGCAAAUGGCAUUUGUAAAAGCUAACAGCUGAUUCAGUGUCACUGCCUGAUAUUCAGGCAGGCAGAUGUUGGUAGAGCCAUAGCAGGACUAACAUUAAUAAACAAUAUUUUUUCUUUAUGCUAGCUUUCAGGUGACGUAUACUUACAACAGUCUGGUCCUUUGGUGAUGCUUUCAUAUGUGGAAGAGAUGCUCAUUAACCGAACAAUGCAUAAAAACUAAACUGGACAACCGGAAACCAGGUUUAAACCAGGUUGAUUAUUCUUACCUUAGCUCAGAGACGCUCCGCUGCACCUGAGGGACCUGGGAUUGUUUUCUCAAAAAUUUACAACAUCGCGAUUGGCCACCAAGGGGCGUUUAUGGAAGGAAAGUCAAACAUGAUCAGGGCUUCUCUGCAGGAAUUGCAGUAAAUGUAGUGUUAGUAGAAUUCUUCCACGCAGAAACACGUAUAAAGCGUGUUUGGAUCCGCUGUCAACGUUAAAAACGAGCCAGCCGGAGCUAGCGCCUCCCGCGCUGUCAGCCUGAGAGGGAUGACGGCGGGCCGAGCGCCGCCUCGGGCUGCGCGGUUAGCACGUCCAUAAUCCGCGAGCAAACUCGCAUCCUUCCAUAAAUUGUUAUUAUCACGAAGUGUUUGAUUGUUGGGCUGAAGAAGAAUUUCAGAGGGAAUCAGUCAUCAAAACGUAAGUGAUGGUUCAAUUCUGCCCGCCAAAAUAAAACAACCAAACACGAUCUGCAUGAAUCAGAUCUCUGAACAUGUCAGACGGACCGCCGCGGCACAAAGACGGUGAUCAACUGUGUGUGUGGACACAUCAGGAAAUCAUCCCAGUUUUAUUUACCUCGGCAUGUCUCGUACAGUCGUCAGGUUUCCGGGGAAAGGUCACGGCGUUUCCCUCGAAGCAAGGCAGCGCAAUAAAACACUAGUAAACAUAAAAGCAAGAUGGAUACAAGCUUGUGCGGCCAUUAGUGAUUUAUACAAGGCUCCUAAUCCCUCGCUCACGCCGCCAUUAAGCCUGGAAAUUACACGUUCUAUCAGUGCCGUCGCUCUCACCUGAGUAUUGGAUUACUGGAAUAAAAUAUGAAUAAUUAAUAGUGAGAAAUAGCUUCAUCAAACUGGAGCGGCCGUGCGUUUUCUCUGUUGCUCCUCCGGUGUCGUUUCAGCUCCACCAGGGGAGUCGCGGCGUCUUCAGAUGGACGUGUACAAUAAAUGUAAACAUAAAUAUAUAUACGCAGGAUCACAUAUGGAGAAAUAAAUACUGAACGUUCGAGUUAGCUUUACCGCAAGUCGGAAACACACUAUUAGAACAUUUAUUAAUCCGCGUUCACUUUUUCCUACAUUUGCUGAAGGGCCUGCAGAGUUUUCAAGGCCUGAUGUGCAUCUACUGGCCCCGCCCACCCCCUCACAUCAUCCUGAUACUGGUGCUUAAGAGAGCAGCACAUAAUAGAUACAUUAAGUUUUAACCACAGUUUGACCAGAAUAAGAUAGAAAUCAAAGUUUGUCUCCGCCAAUGAAUCGUUGAUCGUCGGAGCCUCAAACCGCAGCUCUUGUCGUGUGGGGCCCCUACUGAUGCCCCCCCCCCCCGGCCCCUAUGAACAUCCCUGCAAACACGGGAAGUCCUUUAUCAGAUUUCCAUAUCAGCUUCUUUUUCCCUUUAAAACAGAAAAUCUUUAAUAAUCCGAUGAAUCAGAACGUACUCAGGCAGGAGCGAUCAGACGACCACAAACUCGCGUCAUCUGUCUGGUGCCGCUGCCAGACAAACGAGGGGGGGGGGGGGGGAGGCUGAUUUCUUCUUCUUCUUCUUUCCUGGCGUGGCGUUCUGUCAGAGGUGAGAGGCAGGACGCGCUGGAGCCAACGACCGAAGGCAAAGAAAGACCCAGUAUAUUUAUUUAAUGCGACGAAGGAAGACAUAAAGAGGCGGGGGAGGGGAAAACUUUCCUGCAUAUGGAGCGCUUCUUACGACUAAUCAGCAGCCUGUCGGUGAUUGGGGCCGUGGGCGCCAGGUUGGCUCGCGCUGGCGUUAGCGUGGUUGCCCAGGUCUUUGCUGCAGGCUGCACAGGUUGGCCCUCGACUCUGCCGGGGAGCAGAUGGCGAGCCAAAGCUUGUAGUCACACUUACCUUCCUUGCUAAAUCCCUAAUCCCUCCGUGGACGCUCCUCCAAGGCAGGUUUUUGGAGGCAGAAAUAGGGGUUACAAUCUGGAGCGCCGGCGCGCCUGCCAAAACACUCACAACACACACAUGCAAAUGGACUUAUUUGUGUUGUCCGCCGGCCAAGGCACCGCUUCUUUAGCGAGUAAUUAAGACACCUUGAAAAAAUGUUUGUAAAAGAUCAAUAAUUUGAAACGGACAAUGCUGGUGGGAAAGGGGGCGUGGCCACCAGGACGUCUAUAUUUUACGCCCCUGCUCUCAUCUGUACACAGAGAAACUAGUCCCUUGUGUGUUGAUUACCUCAGGAAUAGUGUUAGGAAUAGAGAUGGAAUAUUGUAGAAGUUCCUGUGAACGGAUGUUUUUAUCCGAUUUCACAUGUAACAACAAAUACAACCUUAACAACAACAAAAAUUUGAGGAAAUUUUCAGAAUUUGAUGAACCGAGCUACGGAGUUGCUUUACUGACAUUUAUGAAAACUGUAGAAAAAAAACCCCAGCUUAAACUCCAUCAAUAAAUUCAUAUUCACCUGAUGAAGGGCAACUAGCAACAACUAGCAACAACUAGCAACCACGAGGGUUAAUUCCCAAGGUUCCCUUCCACAGAGUGCCCCCUGCUGGCGAGUAACAACGCCAAAAAGUCCUGAAAAUGUGGAUCCCUGUGGUGACAACGAUGAUAAUAUCGGUAGGAUUUUAAUCCUGAUCUGACUUUGUUGAGUUCGCAAAAGGUGGAAAGACUUGAAAUAAAUGAUUAAUCAAACAAAAACAUAAAUAAAUGAUUAAAUAAACAACCAGUUUAGUAGCUGUGACCGGUGGUGUAACAGCAUUGGAGACACCCUUCAGCGCCUUGUGUUGGCUCAUAUUUAGCUACGUGGUCUCUCUCUCGCUCGCUCGCUCUCUCGCUCGCUCGCACACACACACACACACACACACACACACACACACACACACACACACACACACACACACACAAAGUUAUUAGCCUGGUGUCAGCAGCACAAAAUGCACUGCAGAUGUUUAAGCUCUGUUUUAGCAGUGAGACUGAAAAAAAAAGCAAAAUCAACUGGAACAUUCAUCUGGACAAACGUUCAAAUUGUUUAAGGCAGAAAACGUGUCUGUUUAUCAGCGAACCG
ensembl:lncRNA